rnacentral:misc_RNA from 1 species
UAAGCAUUUGGACAUUGAUUGUCAGUUGGUUAGGGAACAAUUGCAGUGUGGUUUUAUUUUGCCUUCUCAUGUUUCUUCUUUUCAGCAGCUUGUAGAUUUGUUUACAAAGCCUUUACUUGCUGCUUCUUAUCAUUCGUUAGUAUCCAAGUUGGAUCUUGUGAACCUUUCCCAUGAUCCAACUUGAGGGGGGAUAUUGGUAUAAUUGAGAGUUUGUUUGUUCCCCCAAAAGGAUUAGUUAAGUUAUUGUUAGCUUCUUUAAUGUUCAUUGACAGCUCAUGUGAG